UCGAGAAUAAUUCACAAUGGGGGCAACCCUGAUGGUGCAACGCCGCGUGGAGGAUGAAGGUCUUCGGAUUGUAAACUCCUGUCAUCCGGGAGCAAGACCUGGCCGUGAAUAGCGGACAGGGUUGAUAGUACCGGAAGAGGAAGGGACGGCUAACUUCGUGCCAGCAGCCGCGGUAAUACGAAGGUCCCGAGCGUUGUUCGGAAUCACUGGGCGUAAAGGGAGCGUAGGCGGCGUGGCAAGUCAGACGUGAAAUCCCGGGGCUCAACCCCGGAACUGCGUCCGAUACUGCCAUGCUCGAGCAUUGGAGAGGCAGCUGGAAUUCUUGGUGUAGCAGUGAAAUGCGUGGAUAUCAAGAGGAACACUCGUGGCGAAAGCGAGCUGCUGGACAAUUGCUGACGCU
rnacentral:rRNA from 1 species